GGUGUCAUAUUUCUGCAUCUACUAAUACCAGUGGCGACAUCAAAGCACGACGAAAUCAGACGAAAUAGGUGGAACGUUACCAAAACAUAUUUCGCGAGGAAACAGAAUGUUAUGCAAUUCCCUCAUUGGCAUCCUGCAUUAAAUCAACAUCUGUUACUAACAGCGAAUCCUUCGGAGUCUUUGUAUCGUCCAUACUGGGAGAACAGUGAAUGGGUUUUCGAUAGGUACAACACUCAAUACACGGGCGCUCAAAUAGCUUAUCAUGUUACGUACGAAACUGAAUCGACACAGCACCCGGAAUGCUCGCUUUUCUGUCCUAAUGCCUACGAAGAAUACGGCGCAGUCUGUGGUCAGCGAUUCGUAGUUGGGGGAUAUUCGAACUGGAAAUAUGAGUACAAGAACUUCACGAAUUUAUGUUAUCUGAAGUAUGAAAACUGCAGGAAGAAAACUGCAAG